AGGUCGGGCGGCAGCUACACAUGCAGUCGAGCGGAACGAUACCAGCUUGCUGGUAGGCGUCGAGCGGCGGACGGGUGAGUAAUACUUAGGAAUCUACCUAGUAGUGGGGGAUAGCUCGGGGAAACUCGAAUUAAUACCGCAUACGACCUACGGGAGAAAGGGGGCAGUUUACUGCUCUCGCUAUUAGAUGAGCCUAAGUCGGAUUAGCUAGAUGGUGGGGUAAAGGCCUACCAUGGCGACGAUCUGUAGCUGGUCUGAGAGGAUGAUCAGCCACACCGGGACUGAGACACGGCCCGGACUCCUACGGGAGGCAGCAGUGGGGAAUAUUGGACAAUGGGGGAAACCCUGAUCCAGCCAUGCCGCGUGUGUGAAGAAGGCCUUUUGGUUGUAAAGCACUUUAAGCAGUGAAGAAGACUCCUCGGUUAAUACCCGUGGACGAUGACAUUAGCUGCAGAAUAAGCACCGGCUAACUCUGUGCCAGCAGCCGCGGUAAUACAGAGGGUGCAAGCGUUAAUCGGAAUUACUGGGCGUAAAGCGAGCGUAGGUGGCUUGAUAAGUCAGAUGUGAAAUCCCCGGGCUUAACCAGGGAACUGCAUCUGAAACUGUUAGGCUAGAGUAGGUGAGAGGAAGGUAGAAUUCCAGGUGUAGCGGUGAAAUGCGUAGAGAUCUGGAGGAAUACCGAUGGCGAAGGCAGCCUUCUGGCAUCAUACUGACACUGAGGCCCGAAAGCGUGGGUAGCAAACAGGAUUAGAUACCCUGAUAGUCCACGCCGUAAACGAUGUCUACUAGUCGUUGGGUCCCUUGAGGACUUAGUGACGCAGCUAACGCAAUAAGUAGACCGCCUGGGGAGUACGGGCCGCAAGGUUAAAACUCAAAUGAAUUGACGGGGGCCCGCACAAGCGGUGGAGCAUGUGUUUAAUUCGAUGCAACGCGAAGAACCUUACCUGGUCUUGACAUAUCUAGAAUCCUGCAGAGAUGCGGGAGUGCCUUCGGGAAUUAGAAUACAGGUGCUGCAUGGCUGUCGUCCAGCUUC
rnacentral:rRNA from 1 species